rnacentral:rRNA from 1 species
UACAGAGGUCCCGAGCGUUGUUCGGAUUCACUGGGCGUAAAGGGUGCGUAGGUGGUGACGUAAGUCGGAUGUGAAAUCUCGGAGCCCAACUCCGAAACGGCAUUGGAAACUGCGUUGCUAGAGGGUUGGAGGGGGGACUGGAAUGCUUGGUGUAGCAGUGAAAUGCGUAGAUAUCAAGCGGAACACCAGUGGCGAAGGCGAGUCCCUGGACAACACCUGACACUGAGGCACGAAAGCGUGGGGAGC